AAGUCGUAACAAGGUUUCCGUAGGUGAACCUGCGGAAGGAUCAUUAACCUUUCAAAACAGGGUGCGUCGCGGCCCCCGAGGUGCGGAAACAAGCCUCGAGCGGUUUGGGGUCCUCCCCUUCACGCGCGCACGACUGCCAUCCUUACUUUACGAGCACCUUCUGUUCUCCCUCGGCGGGGCAACCUGCCGUUGGAACCGAAUAAACUCUUUUUGCAUCUAGCAUUACCUGUUCCGAAACAAACAAUCGUUACAACUUUCAACAAUGGAUCUCUUGGCUCUG
rnacentral:misc_RNA from 2 species